rnacentral:rRNA from 1 species
AGGAGAGGCUUGCCGGCAGCUAACACAUGCAAGUCGAGCGCUCACUUCGGUGGGAGCGGCGGACGGGCUAGUAACGCGUGGGAACGUGCCCAGAUCUAAGGAAUAGCCACUGGAAACGGUGAGUAAUACCUUAUACGCCCUUCGGGGGAAAGAUUUAUCGGAUUUGGAUCGGCCCGCGUUAGAUUAGAUAGUUGGUGGGGUAAUGGCCUACCAAGUCUACGAUCUAUAGCUGGUUUUAGAGGAUGAUCAGCAACACUGGGACUGAGACACGGCCCAGACUCCUACGGGAGGCAGCAGUGGGGAAUCUUGGACAAUGGGGGCAACCCUGAUCCAGCCAUGCCGCGUGAGUGAUGAAGGCCUUAGGGUCGUAAAGCUCUUUCGCCAGGGAUGAUAAUGACAGUACCUGGUAAAGAAACCCCGGCUAACUCCGUGCCAGCAGCCGCGGUAAUACGGAGGGGGUUAGCGUUGUUCGGAAUUACUGGGCGUAAAGCGCGCGUAGGCGGAUUGGAAAGUUGGGGGUGAAAUCCCGGGGCUCAACCCCGGAACUGCCUCCAAAACUAUCAGUCUAGAGUUCGAGAGAGGUGAGUGGAAUUCCGAGUGUAGAGGUGAAAUUCGUAGAUAUUCGGAGGAACACCAGUGGCGAAGGCGGCUCACUGGCUCGAUACUGACGCUGAGGUGCGAAAGUGUGGGGAGCAAACAGGAUUAGAUACCCUGGUAGUCCACACCGUAAACGAUGAAUGCCAGUCGUCGGCAAGCAUGCUUGUCGGUGACACACCUAACGGAUUAAGCAUUCCGCCUGGGGAGUACGGUCGCAAGAUUACACUCAAAGGAAUUGACGGA